rnacentral:rRNA from 1 species
UACGUAGGGUGCAAGCGUUGUCCGGAAUUAUUGGGCGUAAAGAGCUCGUAGGCGGUUUGUCGCGUCUGCUGUGAAAACUCGGGGCUCAACUCCGAGCUUGCAGUGGGUACGGGCAGACUAGAGUGCGGUAGGGGAGACUGGAAUUCCUGGUGUAGCGGUGAAAUGCGCAGAUAUCAGGAGGAACACCGGUGGCGAAGGCGGUGGUCUGGGCCGGAACUGACGCUGAAUAGCGAAAGCGUGGGUAGCGAACAGG